GCUGAUAUGCCGAAGUGGGAACGGAGGAGUCUGCAAAACUUUCUAUGAGUAGGUUCGAUUCCUACUAUCAGCU
rnacentral:tRNA from 1 species